AGCUACCGCUAUUGGAAUCCGAUUAAGCCAUGCGAGUCGAGAGGGUUAAGCCCCUCGGCGGACGUCUCAGUAACACGUGGAUAAUCUGCCCUUGAGUGGGGGAUAAACUCGGAAACCUGAGUAUAAUACCCCAUAGGCCUAGGAUGCUGGAAUGCUUCUAGGCUCAAAGCUCCGGCGCUCAAGGAUGAGUCUGCGACCUAUCAGGCUGUAGUGGGUGUAACGGACCCACUAACCUUCGACGGGUACGGGCCUUGAGAGAGGUUGCCCGGAGUUGGACUCUGAGACACGAGUCCAGGCCCUACGGGGUGCAGCAGGCGCGAAAACUUCACAAUGUGGGAAACCGCGAUGAGGGGAUUCCAAGUGCUAACACUUUGUGUUAGCUGUUCACCUGCCUAAAAAGCUGGUGAAGUAAGGGCCGGGUAAGACGGGUGCCAGCCGCCGCGGUAAUACCUGCGGCCCGAGUGGUGGUCGUUAUUAUUGAGCCUAAAGCGUCCGUAGCCGGUUCAGUAAAUCUCUGGGUAAAUCGGGCAGCUCAACUGUCCGAAUUCCGGAAAGACUGCUGAACUUGGGACCGGGGGAGGUUGGAGGUACUCCUGGGGUAGGGGUGAAAUCCUGUAAUCCUAGGGGGACCACCAGUGGCGAAGGCGUCCAACCAAAACGGCUCCGACGGUAAGGGACGAAGCCCUGGGGCGCAAACGGGAUUAGAUACCCCGGUAGUCCAGGGUGUAAACGCUGCAGGCUUGGUGUUGGGGGUCCUACGAGGGCGCCCAGUGCCGGAGAGAAGUUGUUAAGCCUGCCGCUUGGGGAAU
rnacentral:rRNA from 1 species